GAUAACGUUCAUCUUGAUAGUAAAUAGCAUUGAUAAGUAAUUGAUAAUUAAAAAUUAAAAUUUAAUAAUUUAAAGUUCAAUGAAAUAUAGUACAUACUACAUAAACUGUUGUAUUUUAAAUGUGUUUCACAGUUAAUAAAUAAUUAAAUAAUAAUUCAAAAAAAUUAAAUAUAAUUGGGCAUGUUCAGAUACCCUUUUCCAUUUUGGUACUCGUCCAGCUGCCAAAUUGCGUCUGCCACCAAUUUCUGUUGUACGCCUAGCUCGAGCUGUUGGCUGAGUCCCAAUGUGCUUGUUUCCAACGAGUUUAAUAUUUUUAGUGUUUGGAUUAAGACCGCUAUAUUUUCCAAAUGUCAUCAUUGCAGAUAAUAAUGCUGAUACUAGCUGGGCCAUACCAUCCUGUUUGUAUAUCAGAACUCCCAGUCGCUAUAACAUGAAGCUUUUUCCUUGUUUCUUCAGUAGUUGUACUACCUUGGACACAAGAACACAUUCCAGAGUCAAUAUCAACAGUGUAUUUAGUACCUUUUUCUUUAUUAUCAACUACAAAAAGUGAGUUGUUUAUAUCUAUUUGUUGGUACUCUAAUGACUUCAUUUGUUUAGAUGAAAUAAAAAAUCUUUUUUUUAAAUAUCGAGGAGGCCGAUUUGCAGCAACAUCUAGGAUUUUCAUCUCAUAAAAUACAUCCAUGUCAUUAAUGAUGAAGAAAAAUAGUUGGACUGGUGAAUAAGCUUUUGUUCUUUCAAGGAUGACGUCUUUCAUAAUUUUAACUCCAGCUUCGCUUAUAUUGUUUGUGUUUUGGCCUCUUAUUACAAAAUUGUCUCUUAAACAAAUAGCCCAUUCAGUUUUUCUCUUAAAGAGUCCUUCUACAUAUGAUUUGAAUCGUGGAUAUUCAUUAGUCAAAGAAUCAGUCAAUAUUUUAUUGUAUGAGUUAUUUAAAUCAUCUGGAUUUUUUGAAUAUACCAUAUCUUUUAUUCCACAAAAAAGCAUCGGACGGUGUUUUAAGGGAACUCCAUGACUAGAGUCCCAAAGGUAUCUCCAAGCCGCUUGAAGCACAUGAAAAAUACAUAAUAGCAGUGUUGUUUGUGGAAAACAUUCUUGCAAUGCAUUUCUUUCUGCUGUAGAGUCAUCGGUCAUAAAUACUAGAGGACCAUUUAUGCAUCUAUUUCCCAGUGCGUUGAGUGGUAAUAACUUUUUCCACAUUUCCAAACCUACUUUAAUGACAGAAGUGGCCUCACUUGUUAAAAUAAUAGUACCAACAAUCAUACCACCAGCACAACUAUUCGUAUAUAUUAAAAAUACUUUACACCCGAACCGAUCAACAUUCCCAGUUGAAUCAAUGAACAAAAUUUCUCCACUUUCUUCAAACCCUGCACUUAUGCGUUUCAUUAACGGACUAACUAUAGAGAUUACAAAAUUCCCAUCUUCAAGUACUUCAAUCAAUGCACAUUUGGACUCACAAUCUUUGUUGUAUUCGUCAACAGCGUUUUUAAGUGAGAUCAUCAUAUUAUUUCCAUGGGAUGCUCCAAAGUGUUUUUUAAACAUUUUGUAAUAAAUAUAAUAAAUCCAUUCUGGAUCUGGAAGUUCUCCUCUGUCACCAACACACUUAUAAUAAUCAUUACCUAAUUCAUUGCGUAAUUGUUUUUUUAGAAUAAGUAAUGCUUUUGAAGGAGUUUUUCCUUCUUCAAAAAGCUUCAAGAUCUGGUUUUUAACUUCGUCAGAUGGAAUUCUAUAUUUUAAAACACUAGCACAUAAAAUGUCAUGAUUGUGGAUGUGUCUAAUUACAACAACUGCUUUUGAAUAUUUGAUCCUGAAAUAAAGGAUUUGAUUCUGAAAAGGAUUGAGUUAACAACUAGCAAACCAAAGUGCAUAUUACAAUUAGUACCAAUAAUUCAAUGUUGUCACUUGAAUGCUGAAUCUCCGUUUUUUCUUCAUUGUAGUUUAAAGGCUCCAAUCUUGAAGUUGGCUACAAUUAUUUAAUUUUGGGUACAAUUGAUUCUUUAAAACUAAUUUAAUUGGGUUAACUUACCCUUAAUAUAAGCGAUGAGUCCGAAACUUGUUUAGGUGUAAACCCAUGAACUGAUUUCAAAUGCCGAUUGAGAUUUUUUUUCAAAACUUUUUUACAACAUUCUUGUUGUUUGAAGUUUUGAAGAUUAGUUGGUGUAGCAAUUUUUUCCUUCUGUAAACCGUGUUUCACUCUUUGGUGUCUCAAUAGUGUAUAGCUAUAUUUAAAGCUCAGAUUACACUCAUCACAAACAAAAGACUAUAAUAUUGAAUUUGUAUUAGAAUUAGAUAAAUUAAUGAACACAAGUGUUUUAUUAUAUAAAAAAAGUUUAUUUAUUAAGCACAAAAAAUAUACACACAUAAUAAUAUAUUUA